rnacentral:rRNA from 1 species
GGCGAGUGAGAGGAAGAGCUCAAAGUUGGAACCUGUUUGGCCUAGCUAAACCGGAUUGUAGACUGUAGAAGUGUUUUCCAGGCAAGCCGAGUAAAUAAGUCCUUUGGAACAGGGCAUCAUAGAGGGUGAGAAUCCCGUCUUUGGCUUGAGCAUUUGCCUUUUGUGAUACGCUUUCAAAGAGUCAGGUUGUUUGGGAAUGCAGCCUAAAUUGGGUGGUAAAUCUCACCUAAAGCUAAAUAUUGGCGAGAAACCGAUAGCGAACAAGUACCGUGAGGGAAAGAUGAAAAGAACUUUGAAAAGAGAGUUAAACAGUAUGUGAAAUUGUUAAAAGGGAACCGUUUGGAGCCAGACUGGCUUGUCUGUAAUCAAUCUAGGCUUCGGCCUGGAUGCACUUGCAGGCUAUGCCUGCCAACGACAAUUUGACUUGAGGGAAAAAACUAGGGGAAAUGUGGCCCACUUGUGGGUGUUAUAGUCCCUUAGAAAAUACCUUGGGUUGGAUUGAGGAACGCAGCGAAUGCUUAUUGGCGAGUUUUCCAGGAAGGUUUUCUGAGGUACUACGGUAUCAAGGUUGAUCUUUUUGGUUAUACUUCUAUUCGCUUAGGUUGUUGGCUUAAUGACUCUAAAUGACCCGUCUUGAAACACGGAC